UACGAAGGGGGGCUAGCGUUGUUCGGAAUUACUGGGCGUAAAGCGCACGUAGGCGGACAUUUAAGUCAGGGGUGAAAUCCUGGAGCUCAACUCCAGAACUGCCUUUGAUACUGGAGAGCUUGAGUCCGGAAGAGGUGAGUGGAACUCCGAGUGUAGAGGUGAAAUUCGUAGAUAUUCGGAAGAACACCAGUGGCGAAGGCGGCUCACUGGUCCGGUACUGACGCUGAGGUGCGAAAGCGUGGGGAGCAAACAGG
rnacentral:rRNA from 1 species